ACAGAAUCAUCUGGUAUCUCAUGGGGUGUGUGCUGAGAUGACUUAUCCAGACAAUAAGAGGUAACUUUUCUUACUGUUGAGUGAUGAGAAGAGAUAAAUACAACUCUGGAUGCAGUCAUAGAUGGUGAAUGGAAGCCACACAUCUCAGAUGCAGACCCAGAAGAACAAAUGUUGGCAAGAUCAUAGUGGCAAGAUUACAGCCAUAGACCCACACCCAGCAUCAUAGAUACCAGAGAAGUUUGGGUACAGGACUCCAAGGUCAAUACUUGCUAUUCUUUCAGAGGCCCUGCGAUCAUUUUCUAGAAUCCAGCUCAGAUGACUCACAAGUCCUGUACUUUCAGCUCUAUGAAUCCAGUCCUCUCUUUUGGCUUUUACAGACUCCAGUGCACAUGUGGCACACAAGCACCAGCAUUUGAUUAUUGUCUUUUCACAGUGAAAUCA